CUCCCCGCUCUCCCCGGCGCGCGCCCGCCAUGGGCGCUGCCGCGCGCCCCUCGUUAGCCGAAGCCGAGAGGCCGCCGGAGAUAGAGACGUCUCUGGGGGAGAAGGAAUCUGUGGUUUCCACCUCUGUGCCGUUCUCUCUAGGUCCAGCGGACGCGGAACCCCCUCGCGGCGCACGAUGGAUGCCCGAGACUAUAGCUCUGGUCACGACCGGCGACUGCUGCCGCUGGCAAGCUGGGAGCGGCAUGCUGGAGAGCGUCGGCGUCGCCAUGGCGCAUGUCCUAAAUGUUUCAAUUGGAGGAUUCCACCGGCGGAGGACGAGCUGAAUGGGCAGAGCAUUACUCUGGACGGCGGCGUGUGCUGUUCAGGUGGCGCACAAUUCAGAUGAGAAAAGAGAAUAAUAUGGGGAGAAAUGAUUUUUUUGUGCAUGCUAGUGGCUAUCUAGGCAUCUGCAAGGUGGAGCUGCAGGCACCACCACCAAUUAUCUUCAGUAACUUGUACAUUAAUCCUAUCUUAAGAGAGAAAAAAGUAUCACCAAAGUAAACAGGAAAGUGGCAGAUGAAAUGGGAUGCUUGUUGUUUUACUAAUUCAUAUGGAAAGUUGUGAAGCUAGUUGUAGGACAUCGAACUUUUAUUUGCACAAUAUAAGCCCUUUGUAACUAAAGAAAUGUACACUAUAAAAGUUCUCUCUUUUCUUUCUUUCUUUAUUCCAUCUUGAACAGAACACAAAUAUACAUCAGACAAAAUAGAUACAGCAAUGACAGAGAACGAAGAAGUUUACACGCUACAAGAUCUGCACAUUCUUUUUGAAGGCACGUAAUCAUGUUAGAUGUGGACUAGUUACAGGUACACUUGCCCUUCUGUGUAUAACAUCAUAAUUCAUUAAGUAUAAUGAGACGGCAAA